GGCUUUAAGCGCCCACCCUCUCUCUUUUUCAGUCUUUAUGGAGAGAAAUAGGGUUGUGCGUGGCUGCGGGCUUCUUCACCAAAAACGAGGGUUUUUUUUGGGGCGUAAGUAGUCUAAUAAGCAAAAUGGUUUCUUCGCUUCGCUUCGCUUCUUCCCACUUUUUCUUUCUCAAAAAUUUUUCAUCACAAACGAGGGAGAUAACAAAGGGGAUUUUGGGGGCAAGAAAAACAAUCAUGAUUCUUCUUUGAUCUCUUCAAUUCACCUUCCCCUCGCUAUUAAUUAUUCCCCCCACACACUGUUUAUUACACUUCCGUUUUCUCUCUCUCUCUCUCUUUUGGUGAGUGUAUUUACUAGCUUACCACAAUCCCACAACAUAUGCCUCACAUCUCACAUCUUAAAUAGUGCCCACCUGCCCAUCUCCUCUCUCUCCAAGACUAGUAGUUGUUCACUUGUUCUUGAUCAUGGCUUUAAGAACCAAAUAAUGUUCUUGCUCUUUGCUUGCUUGGUUGCUUCAUUUUCAUGGAGGUUUGGCAAAGGGUUUCCUACAGAGCUUAUUGGCAUUCUGUCCACCUCCACUAUUUUUUGACCCAAAAAAAAGAAGAAAUCUAUUAUGGUAGAGGUGGGCAUACUGCCAACAGAGAUCUGUGGGUUUCUCUUUGUAAAACUCCCGUGAUACUCUCAGCUUUCGACGUGUCUUCUUCCUCACCGUCUUAAUUUGUGUCGAAGGGAAUAAGGAGGGUGGAUGGGACUGCAUAGCAAUGGGGUAAUAUGAUUAGGGUAGCCCCAGUAUGGAAAUAAGUUUGCUUUUAUGAGUAUGUAUGUAGGCUCAUGAUUGAUGUCUGACCUUUUUUGCCAUGUAUAUAUUAAUGGGAUGGAGCCAAGUUGAAUCAUCAUGUAUGUAAUGCAUAUUUUCAUGUUGCCAUACAUCAAUGUGUACUACCCAAUAGUAUAGUAUAUCAUUGCAGCAUAAUGUGUAUAUUA